AAAUGAUUGUAAGGAAGUUUUAUUUCUAAUUACACAGGCUUUCUUUAUUUUCAAACAAAUUCUUCUAACUCAAAACAUUUUUUUCUCCUUAAAAAAAAGGUUUAUCAGGUAACGCAUUAAAAUUAAUGACGUAGAAAGGAAGAAGAGAAGAAUGCGUCGAUCGUUGAAGAAGAGUCACGUUUGUCAUCUGAUAGUCCGCCGCCUUCUUGUACCAAAAAACAGAUCAAUAUACUAACGCCGACCGAAAAUGCAGAACUUCGUAUACCGCCAACGAUAAACGACAUAACCAGGCCCUAGAUUAUGGACGAUUAUUAUGUAUUCUGCAACGAAAAUUUUUGGAGGGAUACUACAAUCCAAGAUCGAAAGUGGACGUGGAAUACAUGGCAUUAUAAUCUACAUGGUGUACGACAAAUGCAAGUCCAUCGUACGAAACGUUCACUACACGAUAGCCGUUUGUUAAGGAAGACAAUCAUUUCCACACGAAGGAACUUGGGGUAACCCGAAAAAUUUCGAGGUUAUGUUUAUUCCGAUCUUCCUUCCUGCGUCAUUUGGACGGAAAUAGAGGUGCAACGUACCUGCCCGCCAUUAAAGCUGCCAUUCGCUAUUCCGUAAAGACGAAGAUAUCAACGUAGAAAUAGUGCAACUUACAAUGUGCAAGUGAUUAUUACAAUUGCGGGUAUUACGUCUCACUUAAUGUCGAAACAUACAAGUAUUUAAUGAAGAAGAGAAUGCCAUUGACAGAUUUUAGCAUAGCGACAGAAGUCGUAAAAUAUCGGUAUUGCUAAGAGAACUAUGCAACAACGUCGUUCCAGUAUACGAACCGAGACCGGACAAUCCGUUCGAUUAUUCAGAAAACAUUGACAACGAAGUUUAUGGAAGUUGUCGAACAAGCAGCGCAUCCAAGCGCAGACGAAUGUUCCGACUCUGACGUCAGCAUGCGAUCCACAUCUUCGACAAGUAGUAGAAGAUCGACCAGAUCUAGAUCUACAAGGAGUCGACUGGUAACGCCAAGUUUAAAAUUUUGCAAAAGAACACACGUCGUUUACGGAUGUUUCGUUCCAAAUCAUGCACACGAUGUACAGGAUUGGUGUAUUUCGACUUCGAGACGAUUGUACGAUUCGCGACGAACCGACGGGAGAGACGCACUUUUUAUAUCCCUACGGUAGCAUAAUCUAAGAGUACAUUUUGGAUCAAAGCGUCAAGGUGGAUCGACAGUUGUACGAAUUUAUUAAGAAAAGUUACGACCGUUUGACACGUCGACAGAAGUGCGUGAAUAUUUAAAAAGCGAACUCAGAAAAACCGAAAUGAAUAAAAUUGCAUUUGACACAAACAUUUUCAAACAUUGACAAAAUGUGGCAAUACGUGCAACUACAGGGUCUUUAUAUGCAAGGACCCAAUUAAAAAAAAGAAGCAGCAAAAUUUUAACCGCAGAGGGAAAAUAAAUAUGUAAGCCAUAUUCUGUGACAUAGUUUUUAGUUAUGUUUUUAUUAUUGAUCAUUUCUUUAUUUUUGUACUU